rnacentral:lncRNA from 10 species
CACCCACCCCAGCUGCUCAACGCGAUUUCCCUUCGCGCUUCUCCGCACCGGGAUCCCCAGUCCCUCAGGUUCCGACAGACCCUCCUGUCAGGCCCAUUCUCCGGGCCCCCUCAGUUGCAGUGUUAAGAUCAACAGUGUUAAGAUUAAAGCCUUGUGAUGUGCUAGCCACUACGCUGAGGAUAUGCCGUGUACUAAAAUUCCUCAGGACUCCUCACAGCUGCCCUGUAAGGAAGCGGCCAUGGCCGGGUUCUAGCGAUGCGAGGCCGAGGCUCGGGGCGCUGAGUAGCCUAGCGCGUCGCCGAGGAGAGCUGGCACGUGAACCCCUUGUCGUUUGCCGUCAGAGGUGUUAUGUGGUGGCCCUCAUUCUCCAUGCAUGGAGCAGACUCUAGGAUCUGCAGUUACUGUAUGAUGAGCCCUUCUGAGUAUUUUGCUUGGCUUUGCACCUGGCGAGGUAACAUUGAGAGUAGUUAAUCUCUAGACUGGAAUCCAUCUGGAAGACCACUCAAUAACUUGUGAUUAGCUGGACCUGGUGAUGCAAGCCUGGAGUCCCAGUUACCCGGAGGCUGAGGUGGGAAUAUCGCUUGAGACCAGGAGUUUGAGGCUACAGUGAGCUGUGAUUGUACCACUGCACUCCAGCCUGGGUGACAGUGCAAGACCUCAUCUCUUAAAAAAAACAAACAACUCAAAAAACCUCAUCAUUGAGCACCUAUGAUGUGCCAGCAACUGUACUCAGUGGUGGGGACUUGACGACAAACAAACCAGGGAUGGGAUCCUUGAGCAGUCACCAUCUGACAAGUGACUGGGAAAGAUGAAUAAUGCCCUUCACCAAGAUUCUUCUCUGAUCCACAAAUUCAAUUACCAAUUUAUUUGUUCACUGCUCUUAAACUUAAAUAUUUUUUAGUAGGUAAUAAAGACAUGUUUAAACACUCUUAACUUUUAACAAUUUCUUUGUAAGUACUGUAAUAGUCUUCUUUUCCUUUAAAAAGAAAAAAUACAAAAAGAAGGAAAAGGAAAAUCUAUUCAAAAUAAAGUAUUCCAGAUAUCUGACAUUGCUGCAUUGCUGUAUCAUUCAUUAACAUUCACAAAAAAUAAAAUGAGUGCCUUCCGUGUGUGUGCAGGCAUUGUUCUAGGCAAAGAAGAUUUAGCAUUCAACCAAAACUUCUGUUCUCAUGGAACCUACCUACUCGCAGAUCCAAGCCAUGGUAGUUUGUUCAAGAACCUUCAGCUCUUUUCUGCUUUGUUGUCAAAGGCUUCUAAAAUUGGAUCCCCUCCUCCUUAGUUCUUCCUGAUCCCUGACAGGGAUCCUGUGCUUCAGUCAGCCUCCAAUCCCAACCACCACCACCAACAAAAUCACAAGAAGACACCUAGGCUAUUAUUCUUAACCUGUUUCCCAGUUUCUAUUUGUUAACCCCCUCUGGAUUAGGCAUUGUUGUCUUUGAUCUUGACAUGUGCCUCUAUGUGGAGAGUGUAUUUUUGCUCACCAAAUUUUUACUCAUUAAACUUUACUGGUGCUAUGCUUGCUAACUUAUUUCAGAUAAUUAGAGCUUUUGGAUGCUUUCUCCAGGACAAACUGUUCCUUUCCCCAUCCUCAGCCUUCCAUGCUGUUAAUGUACAAAAUCAGAUGAUUUAAACAUAAAUCAUCUUGAACUCUAGAAUGACCUGGUCCCCUUAGCGAAAAACUGUGGGAUUCAACACUACUCCUCAGUGAUGAUGGUAAGGCUACGUGGGCAGUUGUUUAACCAUUAUCCCCAGGUGCCCUCACCCACAGCCAGCCUGCUCAAAGGACUAUUUCCCAUUCCAAUAAUAAUGACAGAGCUAGGAGGGAGGCCAUGACUAAUAAAGACAUAUAAGAUGUUAUUGCAAAUUCUUUUUUCUAUCCAUAUGAAUUAUAAACUAAAAAAUAUUGACAAAUAUCAGCAAUUACAUCGAAAGAAGAAGGUGGUUGUCAAAAAUAAAAACCAUUGUUAUGUUUUAUAAAUGUUAUUGAAGUCCACAGGAAAUACAUUAAUUUGGUGGGUGUAAAAUUGGAAGAAUUUUGAAAAAUGUAUGCAGUGGUGUAACCACAAACACAAUCAGGAUAUUUCCAUCCCUCCAGAGUUGCCUUAUGUUCCUCCUCCCAAUCUGUUUCCUGUCAACUAAUUAUCUGCUGUCUGUCACUGUAAUAUUGCCUGUUCUAGGAAAUUAGAUGAGUGGAAUUUUCUAUUAUGUGGUCUUUUGAGUCUGACUUCUUUCAAUAAUUAUACUGACUUUGAGAUUUAUCCAUAUUGUUGCAUGUAUCAGUAAUUCAUUCAUUUUCAUUGCUAAGUGGUAUUGUAUGAAUACAGUUUAUUUAUCCGUUCAUCAGUUGAUGGACGUUUGGGUUCAUUCCAAUUUUUAACUAUUAUAAAUAAAGUUGCUAUAAACAAUAUGCAAGUCCUUACGUUAACAUAAGUUUUCCUUUCUUCUGGGUAAAUUUCCUGGAGUAGAAAUGCCGGGUCAUAUGGUAAGUAUAUGUUUAAUAUUGUAAGAAACUGUCAAUGAAUUUCCAAAGUGACUGUACCAUUUUACAUUUUAUCAGCAAUGUAUGAGCGUUCCAGUUGCUCCACACUCUCACUGAUGGUUGGUAUUUUCAGUCUUCUUAAUUUUAACCAUUCUAGUGGGUGUAUAGUGGUAUGUCAUUAUGAUUUUAAUUUGCAUUUCCCUAAUGACCAAUGAUGUUGAGCAUCUUUUUAUGUGCUUGUUUGCCAUGUAUACAUCUUUUUAGGUAAAGUAUGUUCAAAUUUUGGCCCAUUUAUUGGUUUUUGUAGUUAUAAGAAUUUAUGUAUUCUGGAAUCAAGUAUUUUAUCAGAUACAUGUUUUAUAAAUAUUUUCUCCCAGUAUGUGGCUUAUAUUUUUUAUUUUCUUAACAGUGUCUUUGAAGAACAUAAAUUUUUAAUUUUAAUGAAGCCCAAUCUGUUAAUUUUUCUUUUACAGUUUGUGCUUUUUCUAUCCCACUUAAGGAAACUUUGUCUAACUUAAUGUCACUAAGAUUUUCUCCUGUUUUCAGCAGGCGCGGUGGCUCAUGCCUGUAAUCCCAGCACUUUGGGAGGCUGAAGUGGGUGGAUCACCUGAGGUCGGGAGUUCGAGACCAGCCUGACCAACAUAGAGAAACCUUGUCUCUACUAAAAACACAAAAUUAGCCAGGCUUGGUGGUACAAGCCUAUAAUCCCAGCUACUCGGGAGGCUUAGGCAGGAGAAUCACUUGAACCUGGGGGGCAGAGGUUGCAGCGAGCCGAGAUUGCGCCAUUGCACUUCAGUCUGGGCAACAAGAGUGAAACUCCAUCUCAAAAAAAACCAAAACAAAACAAAAUUUUCUCCUCUUUUCUUUUCUUUUCCCUCACCUCCCUCCCUCCUUCCCCCCUCCCUCCCUCCCUCUCUCUCUCUCUCUUUCUUUCUUUCUUUUAUCUCAUUCUGUGUUUCAGGCUGGAGUGUUGUGGCCACAAUCUCAGCUCACUGCAACCUCCACCUCCCAGGUUCAAGCGAUUCUUGUGCCUCAGCCUCCCAAAUAGCUGAGAUUAUAGAUGUAUGCCACCGUGCCUGGCUAAUUUUUAUAUUUUUAGUAGGGACGGGAUUUCACAACAUUGGCCUGGCUGGUCUCGAACUCCUGAGCUCAAGCGAUCCACCCACCUUGGCCUCCCAAAAUGCUGGGAUUACAGGCGUGAGCCACCAUUCCCAGCUGUUUCCUGUUUUCUUUUAGAAGCAUUAUUCUUUCAACCCUUACAACUGAUAUCUUGAUCCAUUUUAGGUUAUGUCUCAUAUGUGGUGUAAAGUAAGGGUAAAGGUUUAUAUUUUUGCAUAUGGCUGUUCACUUGUCACAGGACCAUUUACUGAAAGCACUAUCCCUCCCCCCAUUGAAUUUCAUUGGCACUUUUGUUGAAAAUCAGUUGCCUCUACAUAUGUGGGUCCAUUUCUGUAUUUCUAGUCAGUUCCCCUAAUAUAUGUGUCUAUAUUUAUGCCACUACCAUACUCUUGAUUACUGUUGCUUUUAUAGGAAGUCUCAAAAUUAGGUAAUAUAAAUACUCCAACUUUACCCUUUUGCAAAAAUUUUAGGGUAUUCUAGAUUAUUUGCAUUUUCAUAUAAAGUUUAGAAUCACCUUGUCAAAUUCUACAAAAAAAAAAAACCCUGCUGGGAUAUUGAUUUGAUUUGUGUACAGACAACUUUCUAUAUUGAUUGGAAUUGUACAGUCAGACAACUUAUGAUUGACAUAUUAACAAUAUUGAGUCUUUCAAUCCAUGAGUACGGUAUAUCUUUUUUUUUUUUUUUUUGAGACAG